rnacentral:rRNA from 1 species
CAGUCGCCACGGGAAUACGGAGGGUGCAAGCGUUAAUCGGAAUUACUGGGCGUAAAGCGUGCGUAGGCGGUUCGUUAAGUCUGUUGUGAAAGCCCCGGGCUCAACCUGGGAAUGGCAAUGGAUACUGGCGAGCUAGAGUGUGUCAGAGGAUGGUGGAAUUCCCGGUGUAGCGGUGAAAUGCGUAGAGGUCGGGAGGAACAUCAGUGGCGAAGGCGGCCAUCUGGGACAACACUGACGCUGAGGCACGAAAGCGUGGGGAGCAAACAGGAUUAGAUACCCCGGUAGUCCCUGUCUCUUAUAC